UCAUGGCUCAGGAUGAACGCUGGCGGCGUGCCUAAUACAUGCAAGUCGAGCGAACAGAUAAGGAGCUUGCUCCUUUGACGUUAGCGGCGGACGGGUGAGUAACACGUGGAUAACCUACCUAUAAGACUGGGAUAACUUCGGGAAACCGGAGCUAAUACCGGAUAAGAUUUUGAACCGCAUGGUUCAAUAGUGAAAGACGGCCUUGCUGUCACUUAUAGAUGGAUCCGCGCCGUAUUAGCUAGUUGGUAAGGUAACGGCUUACCAAGGCAACGAUACGUAGCCGACCUGAGAGGGUGAUCGGCCACACUGGAACUGAGACACGGUCCAGACUCCUACGGGAGGCAGCAGUAGGGAAUCUUCCGCAAUGGGCGAAAGCCUGACGGAGCAACGCCGCGUGAGUGAUGAAGGUCUUCGGAUCGUAAAACUCUGUUAUCAGGGAAGAACAAACGUGUAAGUAACUGUGCACGUCUGACGUACC
rnacentral:rRNA from 1 species